UUAUUGAGGGGCUAUCAGACAGCAGAGUUUGACGAUAAUUCUUCACAUAUUUUGCAGAUGGAGGGGGGUGAUGGUGGAUGGCUGACAGCUAAGAGCAUCGCCUGCUGUUCUCUGCUGCAUGGAAUCUUGUAGCUGCUCUCUUCAUGCCACAGUUAAUUGCUGGAAUCUGCUGAACUGAGGGGACCUCAUCUCUCAUAAAGCCUGAUUAUUCUCAGUCUGUCUGUUUUUGAGAGAAGCACAGGACCAGCCAAAUGGAGGAAUGUGUUCUUCCAGAGACACCAAAGCCCAGUCCCAUCAUCGCCUCCUUCCAACAGGAAAUCACAAGCCCAGUUACACCAGUGUUUCCCCUCAGCUUUCCUCCUCCCUGUUCCCAGUCCUACCCGGAACGCUGCUGCCCACUGACAGAUUGGAUACAUGGAGGGAUAGACAGGAACAACCCUAUUCUUCUCUCCCUCCUUCUGUAGUAAAUAAGACUAGCCCCUUAGGAGGCCAUCCUGGCAUGCUGAAAGAAAUAUUCUGAACUUCCUGUGACCCAGAAGGAAGAACAAACACCCAGGACCCUUGUAAUGCAGGUGUCCAAGGUCUGAAACUCAAAGGGUCCUCACAAGGAUAGAGGACAUAACAGAUCUGUGGAAACUCCCAUAUUGUCCUUGGUGACUGCCACACUCCAAUGUCCCAAGAAAUGUUGUAAAAUCAAACAAAUAAAAGUUCUGACAUCACU